rnacentral:rRNA from 1 species
AUGAAGUAUGCCGGUUUGCUGAAGACAAGAAAGGCAUACAUGGAGUCAUGCGUUUUUGGGAAAGUCCCCUCCACAGGAGUGUACAAGGCGUUCCGCUUCCUUGAAGUUCGCCCUCUGGUUAGUCCGCAGCAGCUGUGCGAGGUCAUGACUCUCAACGGCCGCAGCGCUGGACGGUGGAGGGCAAGACCAGGACCUCCCGGCCGUGUCUUUUCCGAUCACACGAUGAAAAGCGCGGCCAUCGAUGGGGUCUUGUAUUUCUUGAUGGAUUUUUCUAACAUGUAUCAUUCGAAGGUGACCAUCAAACCAGCCAGUAUAGCUGCAUUCAACCUGAAGACAGAAGAAUGGAUGCCGCCGAUUGAUGGUCCGGGACAAGUCAGCAGCUUAUAUGACGAAGAAGAUGUGCUUCCUGUCUUCGAGGACCCCAGAGCCGUGGCGCAGGUUCAUCAUAGUUUACCUCAAUCGAUGGACCUAUGGUUUCUGAUGGAUCGUGAGAAAGGUGUCUGGGUUAAAAAGUACAGCAUAGGUUAUUACCGACGUGAGGAUCAUUUUAGUUAUCCUUUGCUGGUGUUAGAUGACGAGAGGAUUGUCUUUGUGAUGCAAUUAACGGGUCUGCUACAGGUUUAUGAUCCAAAAACAGAAACUUACACAGAUUUGUGGCAGCUGGAAGAUUUCAAGUCUAUGUGUAUUUACAUAGGAAAUCUGCUGAGUCAAGAGGCUACAGGUUUUCACUGCUGA